UUUUUUUCCCCAAUGUAUGGAAAUGGACUAAGAUCAUUAAUUUUUUUUGCAGCCUUCUUUUUUAACACAUAAUGUUAGCUGUGCUUUUCUAAUCUUUUAUAUUGUUUGUUACAUUUUUUAAGUGCUUUUGUUCUAUUAUUUACUAAACAAAGUUAUAAGAAUCUUAUGGAAAUGUCUAUUUCUUCUUUUAGUUAUGAUUUACUGUUUUGUAUAUUUUCAGGGUGUAAGAUCGAUUUUUCCAGACUUUAAUUGUUCUAUAUUCUAGAGACUUAUCUUUUUUAACAGUGUGGCAUAUACUUCUUUUAUUGCUACUAAUGCUUCUUGUUUUAAAGACUACAUAUCUGAUAUUCUUAUUUUUAAAGAUUUAUUUAUUUAUUUUAGAGAAAGAGAGAGAGAGAAAGUGGAGUGCAGAGGAGCAGACAGAGAAGGGGAGAGAGAGAGUCUCAAGCAGACUCCCUGUUGAGCACAGAGCCUGAUGAAGGGCUCAAUCUCAUGACCCUUAGAUCAUGACCUGAAUCAAAAUCAAUACUCAAAUGAUUAACCCAACUGAGCCACCCAGGUGCCCCUGAUAUUGUCUUAUAUUCUGUUAGGCAACCCAGCUUCCUUUUGUUUCUUGUUUACAUAGAAUUUUUGUAUUCCAUUUCCAAAAAUAAAGCAAAAGCUGUUUUCUUAUAUUUAAGUCUUUUAAAAAUUAGCAGCAUAAGAAAAAAUGUUUUUAAAUAAGCAGCAUAAGGUUAGAGUCUGUAUUUGUAUCCAGAUUUGUAUCCAGCUUAGUUAUCUUCAUCCCAUUAUUGGAAUACUGAGGUAUUUUGUCUUUUUACAUUUAAUAUCUGUACUUACAUAUUUUGUCUUUAUCUAAUUGCUUUCUAUUUGUCCAUACUGUUCCAUAUCUUGUUUUUUCUCCUUUCUUACCUUUAUUGGGUUAACUAAUCAAGUAUUUUUUUUAAUUUAUUUCAUUCUGUAGCUUGCUAAUUAUACAUCCUGUUUAAUGUUUCCUAUAAUUUUACUUGAGACGUACACUUGCAUUCUUGACUUGCUAAAGCUAACAUAAGAUUGUUCAUUUACCAUUCCCCAGAUAAUGUAAGGACCUUAGAACAAUUUAAAUCUUCCUCCCCACCUUAUAUCUCAUAUAUGACUGUUAUUAUCUUAAUUCUACAUGUAUUUAAAAUCUCACAAUACACUAUAAUUAUUACUUUAUAGUGUCAAAAUUAAUUUACAUUUACUUAUCCUCUCUGUUGCUCAUUGUUCCAUCCUAUGUUUCCAUGCUUCCAUCUGGGAUCAUUGUUCUUCUGCCUAAAAAAAUCCCGUUAGUAUUUCUUUUAGUGCAGGUUUACUAUUAACAAAUUCACUUAGUUUGGGUUUUUAUUGGUUUUAUCAUAUUUUUUCUGAGGAAAAGUAUUUUGCCUUCAUUUUGGCAGGAUAUUUUUGCUCAGGAUAGAAUUCCAGAAGGCAUUUAUUUUCUUCCAGUUUUUGAAGUUAUUCCAAUUUUCUGGCUUUCAUUGUUUCUAUUGUAAACUUUACUGCCAUUGCUAUUCUUGCUCCUUUGAAGUAAUAUGACUUAUUUCUCCAGAAUCUGAAGAUUUUUUUCAUUAUCCUUACUUUCAGGAAUUUGCUGUGAUAUCCUUGGAUGUAGUUUUCUUUGCAUUUACCACCUUAUUUUUCAUAGCUUCUUGAAUCUAAUGCUUUAUCCUUUGUCAAUUUGGGAGAAAUUCUUAGCCAUUGUCUCCUCGAGUAAUACUUCUUUCCUGUUGGAACACCAGUAAUAUGUAUCUUAAACUAUUUUAUCAUAUCCCAUGCUUCACUUCAAUCCUUUUCUGUAUUUCCAUUAUUUUCUAUAUCUACAGUUCAGCUUACAUGUUUUGUCUAAACUACCUAUUAGCUCAGGCAUUCUUUCUCUAUCCAUGUCUUAUCUUCUAUUAAAUCCAUUUAUGAGUUUUUAAUUUAUUUGAUGCCUUUUAGAAUUAGACUUUGUAUUUGGUUUUUUUAGAAAAUAAUCUUCAGUAUUCUGCUAAAAUUAUCCAUCUUGCCAUUUAAUUUCUAAGUCCUUUUUUUGAUAUCUGCAAUAUAAGAUUUUCUGAUUCUAUUUUUUAAUGUCUAUUUUUUCUCUUUUUCAAUUCUUAUUUUUAAUAUAUUUGGUUAGGUUUUAUUAAUUGUUGAAUGUUGUAUAUGAAAAUUUUAGUGAUAAUUAACAUCAUUUAAAAUUGUGUAUGAUGAUAUUGUCCUUCAAUGAGGAUUUGCUUUUCUUCUGGCAGGUAUUUGAAUAGGAGUUGCUUACGAAGCAAGCAUUGUAUUUAUUUAAAGCUGAGCUCCAGCGUUUGUGAGAAUUGGUCAGUUUUAACUUUACUCUUAAUCUUGAAAGAUAGCCCUUCAGGAGUGCACCUGAAUGUCUAGAGUGUUCGGCAGGGUUACUUCUCCUUGGUGAGCACUGAACUUCAAUUUUUGGUGCUCUCAGUUCCCUGAGACCACCAAAAUUCUGGGCUUACUUCUCAGCGUCUCAGCUUUUACAUUAAAAUUGUCAAGUGCUUUGCCAAAUAUGAGACUCAUCUCUCUAGGCUUUUCUUGUCUCUGGGAUUUUAGCAUCUUAAAUUUUUCUUUUCAAAUCAAUUUUUCAGUCUUUAUUUUCCUUUCACUUUUUCUACUUAUCUUAGGGGUGGGGCUCAACUAAUAAACUUAGUCUACCACAGCUGGAGUCUCCAAUCUAUUUUAAUAAAGAAAUUAAAUUUCUUCUAAAUUAAAAUUCUCCAAAAUAUUUUAAUGAAGAAAUAUUUUGUAAAACCUUAUGAUUUUAUCGAGUUUACCUGAAUCACAGACUAAAAUCUUUAACUUAUGUUAAAGAACUGUUAUUCUUUCUCUGAAUUGUGACCAAAUUUGUUUAAAUAUAGCCACUAAAAAACUUAAAGCAAUGACUUUUACUUUAUCAUUUAAUUAGCAAAUAUUAUUUGGGUCACAAAUAAAGAUAAGAACUGUGAGUUGUACAGUUCACCCUAGGUAGAGGGUUGAGUCAUUGGUACAGUGGUGCACAAGACAAAGUCCCUCUCUCACACACGUGAAGAUUUUCUAAAUGUAUUGAACUGCAUGGUUUCAGCAGUGACAUGGCUGUUACAAGGAGGGAAGUAUAAUGGAAUCAUCCUUUCCUUCUUUGUGUGAAUCAGUUUUAGCUUGGGAACAGCUACCAAGAAACCUUUUCAUUUUUGUAGAACAGGCAUAGCUUGGAGGUACCUGAGUAGGUGAUAUAUGGGCCCAAAGCAGAGAAGCAGAUCCCAUAUCAAGUAAAAAGCCAUGACUUGAUGAGGAAAAAGAAAAAAAAAAAA
rnacentral:lncRNA from 1 species